rnacentral:sRNA from 1 species
ACGUAACCCUGAACUUCAGAGGAAACAAGAACCCGUCCCUGCUGGGGAUCCUCUAUGGGAAGAAGUACGAGGCGGACAUGUGCGUGAGGAGAUUUCCUCUGGAAGACAUCCCGCUGGAUGAAAAGGAAGCAGCUCAGUGGCUUCAUAAACUGUACCAGGAGAAGGACGCGCUCCAGGAGAUAUAUAAUCAGAAGGGCAUGUUUCCAGGGGAGCAGUUUAAGCCUGCCCGGAGGCCGUGGACCCUCCUGAACUUCCUGUCCUGGGCCACCAUUCUCCUCUCUCCCCUCUUCAGUUUUGUCUUGGGCGUCUUUGCCAGCGGGUCACCUCUCCUGAUCCUGACUUUCUUGGGGUUUGUGGGAGCAGGUAAUGGACACUGUCGCUAACAGCUCAUACUCUGACGGGCCUCACAGUAUCGGCCACAGGGUCCAGGACCCGGUGACUCAUCACAGUGGCUGUGGGAGGCAGGGGCCUGGCUGUUAUGGACCCUGGAGCCAGGAUCCCCCCACGGCCUGUGGGCCUCAGAGCCUGGAUUCUUGCACUGAGCUGAGGGUCGCCUCCUCAGAGAGCCGAACGGCUGCCACCUGGCGC